GCUGGAGUGAGUGGUGUGAUCUUGGCUGACCGCAUAGGUGCAUAGGUGAAAGGUAUACACAUGGGAGGCUGGGGCGGGAGGAUCACUUGAGCCGGGGAGUCCUGGGUUGUGGUGCACUUCGCCAAUCCAGUGUCUGCAUUAAAUUCAGCAUCAAUAUGGUGACCUCCUGGGAGCAAGGGAUCACCAGGUUGCCUAAGGAGGGGUUAAUCGGCCCAGGUCAGAAAUGGAACAGGUCAAAACUCGCGUGCUAAUCUGUAGGGGGAUCGCACCUGUGGAUAGCCACUGCACUCCAGCCUGGGCAACAUAGUCAGAAUCCAUCUGUA
ensembl:misc_RNA Metazoa_SRP Metazoan signal recognition particle RNA